AUGAAAUCAGAAACUAAUUCUGUAAAGUCCCUCUCACUGCCUUUGUAUUUUCCAAUUCAGUUUAUCCAUGUGUGUUGAGCAUGCUAAAAUGUCCACAAAGCAGGUUCAGAAUUUUGUUUCUACUCUGGCUGUGGGUCUUCUUUUUUAUCUGUACUUUAGUUGCUUCCUGUGUUACAUAGACUUGGCCCAACAUGGGCCUCUCUCUAGGUCAUAGGUUCUUCAAAUCCCCAGACAUAGGACAUCAGAACUUGACUGAACAAUCUAACCAU
rnacentral:misc_RNA from 1 species